GCAUCUUGAUCAUUAACAUGAUAACUUUCAAUGGGCUGCCUUUCACCUGGAUCAUGUGGAAGGCGAUUGAUGUCAUAAAUCGACGGCUGUGAUGCGGGUGGUUGCAGUGGUGGAGGUGAGGGCACAGGAUCCGAGAUUUCUUCAACUACCACUCCAUCCUGCUCUUGAUUCUAUUCUUCCACAAUAUUUUCAACUAGAGAUGGGACAUUGUUUGAAGCAGCAGCAACUGCUGCAUUCUUUGCUGCGUGUUUCUGAAAAAGAGAUGCAAUAUCUCCG
rnacentral:lncRNA from 1 species